rnacentral:rRNA from 1 species
AAUCUUCCGCAAUGGACGCAAGUCUGACGGAGCAACGCCGCGUGAGUGAUGAAGGUUUUCGGAUUGUAAACCUCUGUUGUCGGGGAAGAUAAUGACGGUACCCGAUGAGGAAGCAACGGCUAACUACGUGCUAGCAGCCGCGGUAAUACGUAGGUGGCAAGCGUUGUCCGGAAUUACUGGGUGUAAAGGGAGCGUAGGCGGGAAGGCAAGUUGAAUGUUAAAUCUAUCGGCUCAACCGAUAGCCGAGUUCAAAACUGUCUUUCUUGAGUGAAGUAGAGGCAAGCAGAAUUCCCAGUGUAGCGGUGAAAUGCGUAGAGAUUAGGAGGAAUACCAGUGGCGAAGGCGGCUUGCUGGGCUUUUACUGACGCUGAGGCUCGAAAGUGUGGGGAGCAAACA